rfam:Oryza sativa (indica cultivar-group) chromosome 4, whole genome shotgun sequence.
AAUGUAUGAUGCCGUUGACUUUUUUUCUAACAUUUGACCAUUCGUCUUAUUCAAAAAAUUUAUGUAAUUAUCAUUUAUUUUAUUAUGACUUGAUUCAUCAUCAAAUGAUCUUUAAGCAUGACAUAAAUAUUUUCAUAUUUACACAAAAUUUUUGAAUAAAACGAAUGGUCAAACGUUGGUCGAAAAGUCAACAGCGUCAUACAUU